AUGUGUGUGUAUGUGUGUGUGUCUCUGUAUGUAUGUGUCUGUAUGAUACACAUACAUACAGAGACACACACAUACUG